rnacentral:rRNA from 1 species
GAGUUUGAUCAUGGCUCAGAUUGAACGCUGGCGGCAGGCCUAACACAUGCAAGUCGAGCGGUAGAGAGAAGCUUGCUUCUCUUGAGAGCGGCGGACGGGUGAGUAAUGCCUAGGAAUCUGCCUGGUAGUGGGGGAUAACGUUCGGAAACGGACGCUAAUACCGCAUACGUCCUACGGGAGAAAGCAGGGGACCUUCGGGCCUUGCGCUAUCAGAUGAGCCUAGGUCGGAUUAGCUAGUUGGUGAGGUAAUGGCUCACCAAGGCGACGAUCCGUAACUGGUCUGAGAGGAUGAUCAGUCACACUGGAACUGAGACACGGUCCAGACUCCUACGGGAGGCAGCAGUGGGGAAUAUUGGACAAUGGGCGAAAGCCUGAUCCAGCCAUGCCGCGUGUGUGAAGAAGGUCUUCGGAUUGUAAAGCACUUUAAGUUGGGAGGAAGGGCAGUAAGUUAAUACCUUGCUGUUUUGACGUUACCGACAGAAUAAGCACCGGCUAACUCUGUGCCAG